CACGGGUGAGUAACGCGUGGAUAACCUGUCUUCAUGGUCUGGAAUAAUACGCCAAAGGGGUACUAAUACCGGAUAUUCUUGCUUUUCAUAAGUUAUGCAAGCAAAGGUGGCCUCUGCAUAUGCUACUGCAUGAAGAGGGGUCUGCGUACCAUUAGCUAGUAGGUGGGGUAAUGGCUACCUAGGCGACGAUGGUUAGCGGGUCUGAGAGGAUGAUCCGCCACACUGGCACUGGAACACGGGCCAGACUCCUACGGGAGGCAGCAGUGAGGAAUAUUGCGCAAUGGGGGAAACCCUGACGCAGCGACGCCGCGUGAGUGAAGGAAGGCCUUCGGGUCGUAAAGCUCUGUCAAGAGGAAAGAAGUGUACAAUGGCUAAUACCUGUUGUAUUUGACGGUACCUCUAAAGGAAGCACCGGCUAACUCCGUGCCAGCCGCUGC
rnacentral:rRNA from 1 species